CGCGCAUUUCUGGGUUGCUUGGGUAAUAGGCCUUUUGUUUUAGUAGCAAGAGCAGUGAAUGUGCUCAGCAAAUAUUCUCAGCUUGGCCUAUAGUUACUUGCAGCAGAGGGAAACCUGAGAGUGAACCCGCCUGGCAGACACUCUGAGGGCUUUUUUUUUUUUUUUCUAAUUGGGACACCAAACAGACUGGAAUCCCUGGAAGCCACCCUGAGGAAGUGGCAGAGUCCCAGGCAAUAGGAACUGAUGGAGUUGUACCUGACAAGAACCACAUGCUGCUAUGCCUGGCAUUUCCCCCAGCUGCACUGCGAAGACCUUGGGUUUGACUUUGUUAUUGUAACUUGAAGUACUUCAACUCUACCAUAAAACAUAAUAGCCAAUUUUCAUUAUUUUGAAGCUGGACCCUGAACCUGGAAGAAGAUCUGCCCAUAGAGCUUUGGGUCAGAUACAGUCUGAAGUGUUAAGCUUGCUAAGCAGUCCCUGCUGAAGAAUGGUCUUCAAAGUCCCUGUAUAAUAGUGCUUAUCCCUUCUGCUGCCCUGGCAAGAAAAUCCACCUGAGUGUCUCAGAGGUCUUUUCUAUCCAAAAUCUAUGAUCCAAGAUUUAUGGUUCUUACUGAGACAAAAUGGCCAUCGAGCAUUCCUGGACUCAACAGAAGCUUUACAGUGUAAUUCUCUGGUUCUAUAAAUGUCCAAAAGCUAGAACUAUCUGAUGAUUAAGAAGCUUGUCUCUAUAUCAAAGGAAAGUUCCAUUUCCCAUAAGUAAACUCUUGGUAUGCAGGAAGGUAUCAUUUAUAAUCCUGUAUUUAAACAUAGAAAACUAAGUAGAUGUUGGAGAGGUCUCUAUUGAAUUCAAAAUCAAGAUGAUUCCUUUAAUCUAAUGAACAUUAUGAUUUGUCUAUUAUCCCAUGCCUCUGAUUCCACCCUCUCUCUCAUUCUUCUGUUCAUUUUUGUCUUCUCUUCUUCAUAAUCUGAAUCUAUCCUUCCUCAAGAUUCCUUUCAAUUUAUUUCCUUUGCUUCUAAUAGGAACUUAUCUCCUGCUGUUCUUUGAAUAUUUAUUUCUCACUCUUGCACUUGAUUACUACAGGGAACAUUAUGCCCUGAACAAAGCGCUGGUCUGAGGCAAGCAGAGCUAUGAUUAUUUACUUUUGGUCGUGUGAAUACGAAUGUUUACUCUUCAAAGUUUCUGAGAUCCCUUAAUCUGAAAAAUGGAAAUAACUACGUUGGAUGUGUCUUAAAAGACCAAAU